rnacentral:rRNA from 1 species
CCAGUAGACGACUGGGUUGAUAGGCCAGAUAUGGAAGACCGGUAACGGUUGGAGUUGACUGGUACUAAUAGGCCGAGGGCUUGUCCUCAGUUG